UAAGUAGGGUGCAAGCGUUGUCCGGAAUUAUUGGGCGUAAAGAGCUCGUAGGCGGUUUGUUGCGUCGGCUGUGAAAUCCCGAGGCUCAACCUCGGGUCUGCAGUCGAUACGAGCAAACUAGAGUGUUGCAGGGGAGACUGGAAUUCCUGGUGUAGCGGUGAAAUGCGCAGAUAUCAGGAGGAACACCGGUGGCGAAGGCGGGUCUCUGGGCAACAACUGACGCUGAGGAGCGAAAGCGUGGGGAGCGAACAGG
rnacentral:rRNA from 1 species